AUUGAACGCUGGCGGCAUGCCUUACACAUGCAAGUCGAACGGUAACAGGUCUUCGGAUGCUGACGAGUGGCGAACGGGUGAGUAAUACAUCGGAACGUGCCUAGUAGUGGGGGAUAACUACUCGAAAGAGUGGCUAAUACCGCAUGAGAUCUACGGAUGAAAGCAGGGGAUCGCAGGACCUUGUGCUACUAGAGCGGCCGAUGGCAGAUUAGGUAGUUGGUGGGAUAAAAGCUUACCAAGCCGACGAUCUGUAGCUGGUCUGAGAGGACGAUCAGCGACACUGGGACUGAGACACGGCCCAGACGCCUACGGGAGGCAGCAGUGGGGAAUUUUGGACAAUGGGCGCAAGCCUGAUCCAGCAAUGCCGCGUGCAGGAUGAAGGCCUUCGGGUUGUAAACUGCUUUUGUACGGAACGAAAAGCCCUGGGUUAAUACCCUGGGGUCAUGACGGUACCGUAAGAAUAAGCACCGGCUAACUACGUGCCAGCCGCCGCCGUAAAAC
rnacentral:rRNA from 1 species